CAGCAGCCGCCGCGGGAAUACAGAGGGUGCGAGCGUUAAUCGGAUUUACUGGGCGUAAAGCGUGCGUAGGCGGCUUCUUAAGUCGGAUGUGAAAUCCCUGAGCUUAACUUAGGAAUUGCAUUCGAUACUGGGAAGCUAGAGUAUGGGAGAGGAUGGUAGAAUUCCAGGUGUAGCGGUGAAAUGCGUAGAGAUCUGGAGGAAUACCGAUGGCGAAGGCAGCCAUCUGGCCUAAUACUGACGCUGAGGUACGAAAGCAUGGGGAGCAAACAGGAUUAGAUACCCCAGUAGUCCCUGUCUCUUAUAU
rnacentral:rRNA from 1 species